rnacentral:rRNA from 1 species
AUAUCAAUAAGCGGAGGAAAAGAAACCAACCGGGAUUGCCUCAGUAACGGCGAGUGGAGCGGCAAGAGCUCAAAUUUGAAAUCUGGCCCCUUUGGGGUCCGAGUUGUAAUUUGGAGAGGAUGCUUCGGGUGUGGUCCCUAUCUAAGUGCCCUGGAACGGGCCGUCAUAGAGGGUGAGAAUCCCGUCUGGGAUAGGCGGCCGCGCCCGUGUGAAGCUCCUUCGACGAGUCGAGUUGUUUGGGAAUGCAGCUCUAAGCGGGUGGUAAAUUUCAUCUAAAGCUAAAUACUGGCCGGAGACCGAUAGCGCACAAGUAGAGUGAUCGAAAGAUGAAAAGCACUUUGAAAAGAGAGUUAAACAGUAC